rnacentral:snRNA from 1 species
AUGUGAGGGCCAUCUGGCUGUGACAUCUGUCACCCCAUUGAUCACCAGGGUUGAUUCAGCUGAUCUGGCUGGCUGGCUGGGUGGGUGUCCCCUUCCUCUCAACAUU